UGCAUCGCCGCAGGUGCGAUGAUAGGGCCUGGGCUGGGGAGGAGCUUGGAAACCCAUGUGCCUUCUUGUUGUACUAACAGCGUCCAUGGAUGUUUAUCCCAGCACAUUCACCCGGUGUAUGGAGAUGCACCUGACUGCAAUAACUCAGGCAAUCCCUGAGAAUGACUCUAUGAUCCAAGAAGAAUGUGUGUUCAGCCUUCUGAGCUAAGGAGUCUGGGAGUGGCAAACCCUGAGAUUCAGUCCACAUCUGUGAAGGACAUCGGAGCGCCUGGCCCAUCCCUUGCAACACAGGCCAUAUGGGGGAUCGAGGCCCUUUGUUUUGGGUUAAAUGGAAGUUGUUGCUAAGUGAAAAUGCUGUAUAACCUGCAUGCUUUUUAAAAAUGGGAGCAGUUUUCCAGUCCAGCUCGCUGCUACUGGACCGCCCUGUCUGUUAAGUCCUCAAUAAACCCUAUGUCCUGUUCCAUGGCUCUGGGUCUCUUCUUCAGCCUUUUGGACGUGGUGCCAUCCCUAUUGGAUUCCACAGGGUCUGUCAGGCAAUGGUGGCAUGAGUGAACACAACCCAUGUCACUCACUGCACUCACUCUUGGUAAGACAGAGCUAUGUACAAGACAAUUCUUGCAGCAGUGGCUUAUUUUGAGCACAUUCAUACAUAUGAAAAUAUCUGGGGUUAGGCCAAGAAGAUGAGAUCAGUUGUUUGCACAAAUCUAUAAAUAUGGCAUCAUACAAUUGGAAUGAGCUUAUAAACCAAAUCCUUGGUUUUCUUCUAGACCAUUUAGGAACAUCCCUAACAUGUCUGAUUUUCUGGUUGACCGAAAUUGAGCUUUUUCCUUUUUUUUUUUCUAACAAACAGGGUUCCAAUAUCAGUAUUGAGCACUGUGUGCUGUAAGCCUCAUUGUGACUUUGGCUUGUGUCAGUGAGGUUUUAGCAGCUCCUCCCCUGCUGCCUGCUGUUUCACUUUCUUUGGUUUUAGUUUUGAUUUUAGUUAUCUGCUGUCAACUUUGGUCUGGAUAAUAUUAAAUGGAAAAUUCCAGAAAUAAUUUAUACAUUUUAAAUGGCACCCCUUUCUGACUAGCGUGAUGGAAUCUUGAGCCGUCCAGCCCAGGACAUGAAUCAUCCCUGUGUCCAGCAUCUCCAGCUGUCUACGCUCCCAGCCCGUGAGUCACUGAGGAGCCAUCUCCACGGCACCUGGAUUACUUGGAGCCAAAGAAGAAGCUAGAGUCCGCAGAGACACAGAAGGUGAUUAUGGGAGGGGAUGGCACCAAGGACAUAGGUGGCAGAUGCAACCUUGGAAACGAUGAGGCUCACCUUCUUCUAUAAGGUUGCAAAAAAGCAACGAAAACAUGCACAUUUACAGCAAAUUAGAGAACUGGGCAGGAGAAAAGUUGAAAGGAGUUGUCAGCUGACCUAAGUGAUCUGUCCAGAAAGGGUCACGGUGGGGGGUUUGGAGGUCAGAGGAGAAAGAACAAUAAUUUCAAUGAAAAAAAUCUAUUUUCUAAUUUGAGAAAUUAGAUAGAAAGAUAACUGAAAAUAUGUUGAAAGUGACCUUGCAUCAUUUAGGAACUGUUGGGUUUUUGUACUCAUCUUUAGUAAUUUUAUCCUGAAUACGCACAUGAGGUGUUUGGGAUCAGAGGCUGAUUCCUCAUCGAACACCUCAGUAUAAGUAGCACAUGUCAGCCUCACUUUGCCCUCAUCUCUACCCCAGGCCAACGUGCCGAGCACCAAGCCAGUUGUCCUGUAGGAGUAGUCAGACACCUUAUAGGUGAAGGCUGAAGAAAAGUGACUUUAUCAAGGGGAAGGAGGGAGCUCGCUACCACCCCAGUGAAAAGGUCUCUUGAUGGGGUCCACAGACUACAAGUGAAAAACCUCUACCCUCUAGAGAAUGAGGAAGACAUACAUAUGAAGAACUAUGGCUAAUAAUUUUCCAAAAUUGAAAAAGAACAUGAGUUUCUGAAACUGAAGAACUGAAGAAGUUCACUGAUACUCAAGUAUAAACUAACACAUACCAGACACCGUGGUGAAACUGCAGAUGGCCAACAUUAACAAUAAAAUCUUAAAAGAAUUCAGAAUGAAAAUCACAUGAUCUCUAAAGAAUCAAAAGUGCACUAAUGAGUAAUAUAUUUUAAAAUACUCGUGUAAAAUUAUUGUCAGCCUAGAUAGAAAUCUGGCUCAGCCUAACCAGCACUUGACUAUAAAGGAAACUGGACAUUUCAGACACAGGGAACAAAUGUACAAUCUAUAGAUCUUCACCAAAAAAUGUACUUAUGGAAAUUAAAUAAGAAGAAAAGAAUGUUUCCAAGAAGAAGCAGUGGACAUUACAAAAUGUGCUGGUAAAGCUAAAUAGAUAUGGCCUGAAAAAAUAAAGCAGGGAGAUGAAUAAAAGCAAUGCUGAAAUAAAACCACAAUGAAAGGGAAGUUUGGAUGGAAGUGACUAAGUUUUUAAAAAUAUUAUUUGGGAAGAAGGUGGUAUUGAUGUAGACUUGGUUGACAAGUAUUAAUUUGUGUCUGUGCAUAUAAACAAAAGACAAUCAUUGAAAGAAUAAAAAUAGAACUAUUGGGGGAAAUAUGGGUGGAGAGGAGGAAAAGUUUAUUAAUCCAACAAAAAAAGAAAAAGGA
rnacentral:lncRNA from 1 species